AGCCUCUCAGCGUCACGCCUGGAGAGUUUCCAUUACUCCAUCAGUCUUGACUAUGGGAGGGAAAGUCAAGCAGAGGCCAACCCAUUCCAUUCCGAGCUUGGACGGUGGCUAGCGAGUGGAAGACAAUCUGCUACAUGU